rnacentral:tRNA from 1 species
GGUGUUGUGGUGUAGUUGGUUAUCACUUCUGUCACACAAUUAAAGGUCCCUAGUCCAAACCUGGGCAGCACCA